rnacentral:rRNA from 1 species
GAUCCUGGCUCAGGACGAACGCUGGCGGCGCGCCUAACACAUGCAAGUCGAACGAGCGAGAGAGAGCUUGCUUUCUCGAGCGAGUGGCGAACGGGUGAGUAACGCGUGAGGAACCUGCCUCAAAGAGGGGGGACAACAGUUGGAAACGACUGCUAAUACCGCAUAAGCCCACGACCCGGCAUCGGGUUUGAGGGAAAAGGGAAGCAAUCCGCUUUGAGAUGGCCUCGCGUCCGAUUAGCUAGUUGGUGG